rnacentral:rRNA from 1 species
CUACGGGAGGCUGCAGUGAGGAAUAUUGCACAAUGGGGGGAACCCUGAUGCAGCAACGCCGCGUGGAGGAUGACGCAUUUCGGUGUGUAAACUCCUUUUAUAUGUCAAGAAAAUGACGGUAGCAUAUGAAUAAGCACCGGCUAACUCCGUGCCAGCAGCCGCGGUAAUACGGAGGGUGCAAGCGUUACUCGGAAUCACUGGGUGUAAAGGACGCGUAGGCGGGUUGGAAAGUCAGGUGUGAAAUCCUACAGCUUAACUGUGGAACUGCACUUGAAACUUCUAAUCUAGAGUAUGGGAGGGGGAGAUGGAAUUAGUGGUGUAGGGGUAAAAUCCGUAGAUAUCACUAGGAAUACCUAAAGCGAAGGCGAUCUCCUGGAACAUUACUGACGCUAAGGCGUGAAAGCGUGGGGAGCAAACAGGAUUAGAUACCCGAGUAGUC